UUGGGCUUCUCUCCUCCC
rnacentral:miRNA from 1 species